CUUUGCUGCCUAUCUUGAAGCAGCCAGCGGAGGUACUUCAUUUCUCGCUGGUACUGGGCUGCCUUUCCUGCAAAGUCUUCCUCCUGCUCUGCCAGCCUGUGGGUGAUGCCUUGCAUAGUGCUUACAGCAUUCUUUCUGUACACCUGAAAGCAGAAAAAAUUGGCAUGUGGAUCUUACUGGCAGAAUGACUGUAACAACCCAGCAUCAUCCAUCUCCUUCCCAGCUGAUACACUGUGAUGUCUUGCUGACCCCCUAAGUCAGAGCUCACCCCAAGACCGCCUGUUCCCAGAAAAUGGAAAAACCAUGACUAGGCGUGCUGAAUGUAGAGUUCCUGGGUUGGUUUCUGGAGGACAACCCAGAUCAACGAUUUGACCAGUCAAUCCGGAAUCCACGUUGGUCUGGUGGCCCUUCCUGAGCAUGGUAAAGAAUUCCAGUCAACAGAGGCCAAAAGGUCGGAUCAAUCAGAACACCUGGUGGGACGUCUCCUUGAAAACUUGUUUUAUAAAAGAUAUUGAUCUGCAACUGAACCCAGCAAAAUUUGAAAUGGAACUUCAAUUGUAAAUUGAGACACAAAGUUAGGGCCCUAUUACAAAAGGCAAAUAUUGGAUGAACAGGUCAACCAUUGUCCAGGGUAAUAUGGCCAGAGAUCGACUGCCGAAUAGGGAUUUGAUCAUCAGCUGAUGGCAAAAAUCAUUGUUUGUUGGCUGCACAUCACACUGUUACAGGGCAUGUGUAACUGAUGAAUGACAGAAGUAAAAGGGCCACACAAACAAUCCCCCGAGCGUCUGUAUGGGCCUGCCCGCCCAAUUCCGAUCCAGGUAAUAGGUUCAGUAAACGGGCGGCAAUCUAGAAGAUCGGUGCUUGUAUUAAGUGGGGGUUGGGCUGUUCAAUACACAGGAUCAACUCAAGCAAUAUACAACCAAUAUAGGUUCAUAUUUUAAAGUAAAAAUACAAGUUGAGAAUUUACAAAUUAUCCCUGGUUCUUAAAAAAUAGAUUCUUGUAAAUAAGAUUUUUAUUGUGUAUGUUAUGUGUUUCAACAUGUACUACAGUAUGACAGUAAGACAAUACUAGCAAUCCUAAAACACCUCACAAAAUGAGUCACAAUAUACAACUUCGCUUACACAUCAUACAAAGGUUCGUCAUAGACAGGGUCCCAACUGCAUCAGUCACCAAUAAGCAUGGCAUGAUAUACAAACAGGCCUUAUUGCUUGUCAUUAGGCAUAUACAUUUUUAGACCCAAUUAAAUAGAGGCAACAUCUGGUACAAGCUCCACAGACAGAAUUCAUGUACACUUCUCAAUCUUUAGAUGACUCCCAUGUGGACACAGUUUAAAUCAGCUUGUUACUGUGCUCUGUACACAAUGUAUAUAGUGUAUUUAACAUUUUGUGAAAAUAUUCUGUCACUCACCAUGAAACACUGUAAUUUUUAUUUGUUUUAUUGCAUUAUACCCACAAUACAGCUGCAUGGUUCAAAACAGGACAGCAGGGGCGUGUGAGGCAAUGGCAGUUUUGUGCCAACUGCACUUCUUCUGGAAGACGAUUUUCCUAUCCUAUCAGACUGCAGCAUGAAAAUAAAGAGGAGGGGGUGACCAAGCAGCCUGCAGUGAUUGGAUGAAGAGACCCAGCACAGCACAGCACAGGAGGAAGUGAAUGCAUGAUGAGUGAGGGCAGGCUCAGUGUUCGCCUCGGACAUGUCGUUUCCUAAUCAGUGGACGUCGGAAUGAAUGAGCAGCAGAAUAGAGGGAUUUGUGAGCCAAAUACAGAAGCUAGAUACAUAAAAUAUGUAAACAUCUGCAUGACCUAGUGAGUAACAUAUAUAAGCAUUAUUUUUUUUCUGUGAUACGAGAGGUAAACUUUAAUAUACAAGCAUGAAACAACAACUUUAGAUAUGAAGCCAUUAGUGCUAGAUUCCAUAAUUCUGUGAGGUGUAUAGUUUCCAAAAUGGGGUCACAUGUGGGGGGGGGUCCACUGUUCUGGCACCACGGGGGGCUUUGUAAAUGCACAUGGCCCCCGACUACCAUUCCAAACAAAUUCACUCUUAAAAAGCUCAAUGGCGCUCCUCCUCUUCUGAGCAUUGUAGUUCGACCGCAGGGCACUUGACGUCCACACAUGGGGUAUUUCCAUACUCAGAAGAGAUGGGGUUACAAAUUUUGGGGGGUAUUUUCUGCUAUUAACCCUUGCAAAAAUGUUACAUUCCGUUAGGGGUGUAGUUUCCAAAAUGGGGUCACAUGUUGGUAUUUUUUUUCGUUUAUGUCAGAACCGCUGUAAAAUUAACCACCCCUGUGCAA